CGGCAUAGUACAGUAUAUACGUUCUAUUGUAACGACACGUGGGUGAGCUGUUGGUUCGUGCAUCGCUGCCGACCUCGUCGCGUGUCAUUGCGCUCUUUAAAUCAGGUGUCGUCGUGUUUCAGCCAAACGCUGAGAGAGGGCGAGAGAUAGAGACCCCGGCUCACGUUCUGAAGAAGCUCCCAGCGCGUGGAGCGAAACGUCGGACACGCACGCCGAACACGACAGGCGACGCAACCAGAGAACGCAUCAGAGGGAUUAAACAGCAGAGCCGCUAAAGCCCUGCGCGCCAGAGUUUGCUCUCACGCAGAUCUCGCUCGGCAGACAACGAGGGGUCAGUGACGCCAGAGUGGUCGCUCCUUUUAGAGUGACCGACUCACUCCGACCUCUCUCCCUGCUGACCCCCCCCUCCCCGCAUCCCCUGGGCCCAUGUGGUGGGGUUACGGAGUCGGGGUAAGGAAGGUCGGGGAGGAGGGUGCAGGUCGGCCGUGCACCUUGCCCAAGGACAGCCGAUAAACAUCAAACGGCUGCUUCGCGUAAUCUCGCGUGUUUGUAACAAACGGACAGCUGAAGGCAACCGCCAUCGCCACCCAUCAUGCAAGGGGGCCGCUCUCACGACGUCUCAACGUCUAAACAAACGCCACCAUGUUAUCUUUGUGUUGAGUCGUUUCCCUUAUUCGCCCCCCCCCCCCCGAAUGUGAAUCGUUUCACCCACUCUAAACAGAACCCCGGCGGCAGCGAGAUGCCCUCCCCACGCUUCUUGACACCUGCUUCUGACCGAGUUUUCUUCGUCGAUUCCCUUCUAAGCCCGAAAUUAAUCGGCGUUGUUAAUUCCACUAAAAGUCUGGAAAAUCGAUCGGACGACUAAACGUGUGCAGGUACUGUAGAGUACUUGCAAAAAAGAAAACCACGUUCAGCAUUUCAUAUUCAGCACUGGGUGCGUUCGGGUCCAGUGAUGCUUCACGCGACGGAGUCCAUCUGAUCGCAGCUACAAUUCGGCGAACGGCGCUCGCAUUCAGGCAUCGCUGGCCACUAAUUGGUGACCGUUGCCGGGUCGCGAACUCGGGCGGCCGGGUUCAUAGGGCAAGGUCCAAAGUUUGACGCCGCUGUGUUGUCUGGAAGCCGCCGAGCGUCUGGAAGCUCAAGAUGCCACGGGGGUGGCCUCCCCAGCGAGCCGCACAUUUGGUGAAGGCUCUCAUUACCCCGCGCAAUCUGCCCGUGACACAGACGGCCCGAUACAAUCGCGCGAGUCGCAUCCAAGCACUGCCACUUCCCCUUGCGUUGCAAUCGAUGGACGCGUGCGCGCCGCAGGAAUGAGUGGCAAGCUGGACGACACUUACGGAUUUUGGGUCACGUGUUCGCGUCGUCUGUGCGAGUAACAACACAGCCAGUGGCUUUUUUGGACGAGAUGAGGCCGGGAAUUCGAUCCCGACCCUGACUAUGCCUGCUGUAUAUUUGAAGUUCGCGAGUUCUCUCUCACAGUGGUGGUCACGUGAACUUUUCUCCAGGUUCUAAACAUGGGUUUAGAUUAUGUGGCCGCUAUUAUAAAUCCCUACGUAUGUUAAUAGAGCCACUUCGAUUAGCUAUCACGUGUGGCCAGAUCGCCUAUGAAAAAGAGAUAAUAGCUCAGUGGGCUUUAGCUGGUAAAAAAUAAUGGAGGUGGAGGGGUGUCUGUGGGGGAACUGCAAGGCUGUGUUUCUUGACGCCGAAGCCAAUUGCCUUUGCGGCCACGUGGCUGUAAUUGUCAUACGUCGCUGCUUCAAUAAAUUAAUUAAAACGCCACACGUGCCCUCUACUGCCCACAACGCCUACUAUACAUCAGUAUUUUUGCGCACGAUAGCCGCCCAUCCAAGCACUAUCCAGGCUCCUAAAAAAAUCCCGCUUAGCUUCCAAGGUCCAACGGGAUGGGGCGCAUUCCGGGGUUCUAUUAUAGGGCAGUGUUCUCGCGGUAAAACAAUGGUACCUUCUUUUUUUUAAUGAGCGCCAGUCGAGACUAAUCACUGCUGCCAUUAUUACUAUUGCCACGAUAGGUUUCUCCGACAUCACGGUUCAUUAGGUCUCAUAGCCCGGUUGAAAUUACGCAUUGCAAAGGAGGUAGGGUGCAGACAGCAGGCGGGACGGGUGCAGCAGAGGUCCCGCCAG